CUCUAAGUGGCUCCUUCGCCUCUGGAGGAACAUGACUCAUUCCUUCAUUGGAACCUGAAAGAAGUCCGAGCGUCCGAAGACACUUGGGGAAUGCACUGGAAUUAUACUUGUAAACAUCAAUGCUAGAAGUUUUAAAUAUUAGGAAACCAAUAUGAUAUGGGUUAAAAGUUGAUGGUUGGAGUCGGUAUAUUAGGAUGUGGCCAAAAGAGCAAGGGGUGAAUUGGCAGUCCUUUCUAGAAUGUUCCUUGGGGAAAUCCUUGCUGGCCAAGUGAAGAGUCUUGAGCUGCUGAACUCUGGGUAGCAUAGAUUGUCUUCUUCUUUUGUCCAGGGAGUCCACCACCCCCCUCCAUCCCGACCCCCUGCAUUUCUGACUGCUCUGUGUUUAUACAUGGCCUCAUAAUGGUGUUCCUGCCAGCUUUACUUAGGCUUGCCCCCCCCCCCCCCCCCCCCCGCCCAAGCAGCCUUUGGAUCCAUCUUCUGCACAUGACCAGUGGAAGGAAACCAGUAGAAGGAGUCCUGCAUUAGUGCUGGGAGAUAAAUUGCAUUCCUGCACCUCUUAAAACCCACGUUCUCCACAAUAUAAAAUGGGGCUGGGGAGGGUGCGGUCCUCCAAGACUGGGUUAGCCUUUGCCUUUCAUUGACCUCAGUGGAUGCCACUUAAUGGAAAAAUAUGAUCAGGGUUCACCCUAUGGAAUCAUUGCUUAAUAUUGUAGAUGACUCAUUGGAGCUAGUGUGUUAGAAAAUCACUUCCAGAUGUGUAGCAGAAGCUUUUCCAAAAGGAAGCAAUAAACUCUGGAAAACUGGGUUAGUUUUCGUUUUUCUUUUUAUGAUCUUAGGGCCAGAAUCAAACCUUCCUGUAUAUGGUCGGCCAACAUAUACUUGGAGUUCUUAGUAGCGUGAUGCAUCCAGUUCACUUGCUUUUAGACGGAUUCUCUUUAUUUUUCUAUUUGUUAUUUACGUUUUUCUUUGAAAGAGAGCACGGGCGACCGCCUGUGAGCCGGGGAGGGGCAGAGGGAGAGAGAGAAUCCGAAGCAGGUUCCAUGCUCGGUGCGGAGCCCGAUGUGGGGCUCGAUCCCAUGACUCUGGGAUCAUGGCCUGAGCUGAAAUCAAAAGUCGGACGCUCAACUGACCGAGCCCCCCGGGCGCCCCGAGAUUCUCUUGAAGUGGAUUUUUUACCAGUGUUUGAUUUCUGGAGAUUCUAUCUCCAUGGAUAUCACUCCAGCCAAAAAAUUCACUGGCUUCUUCUGGUCAGUGAAGUUUCAGUUGGGCCCUCUUAAAAGAGGUAAUGUGCUGUCAUCUCCUUGGAGGCAGCAGAUGACAGAUCUUGUAGAUCACGCCACGGAGUCAAAAGGAAAAUAUUUGUUAAGUACCACAGCCUGGAGCCCUUACAAAGGCUGAGCCUGCUCCAACAAGGUGUUCCUGGUAAAUAAAAUCUUAUGUUUUCCGUCCUGCUUGGUUUUUUUUCACAUUUACCUAAUACCGUAUUGUAUUUGUAGCUCUUUAAUGAAUCAAAAAAUGUCUGUCGGCACGAGACUAGGAUCAAAACACGUCUGAAACUUGAGAAGGCCAUCAAAACAGGCAAAGAUCAUAACCAUUACUGUUCAAUCGAAACUUAUGUCCCCGUUCUUUUUGAAGAGUUAAAAAUGCUUAGGGAUUGGUGAAGCUGCCUCAGUGAGUCCCGCAGUGGUUAAGGGCCUGGUCGUCAGUGUUAAAGGGCGCUGCUUGGAAUCCUGACCGUAUUAGGUUUCUGUUGCUGCACAGCAUCUUGUCCCAAAGCGAGCAGCUCGAAAUCACUUAUUUCAGAGUUUCUCUGGGUCAGAAACCCGGGCAGGGUUUUCAGCUGCAGUCUUUCCUCACAGUCCCACAGGUGUUGGCAGGGGCGUUAUCACCUGGAAGCUCAGGGGCCUUCUCCAAGCUCCUUCAGGUUGGCGCAGUUCGGUUCCUUGUGGUUGUAGGACUGACUGGUCCUGUUUUCUUGCUGGCUGUCCUAGCCAUGUGGGCCUUUAUUAGCAUGGCAUUCUGCUUCUAAAAAGCCAGCAGGGGGGCGCCUAGGGGGCCCAGUCGGUUGAGUGUCCGACUUCGGCUCAGGUCAUGAUCUCGCAGUCCACGAGUUCGAGCCUCGCGUCGGGCUCUGUGCUGACAGCUCGGAGCCCGGAGCCUGCUUCGGGUUCUGUGUCUCCCUCUCUCUCCGCCCCUCCCCUGCUCGUGCUCUGUCCCUCCCUGUCUCUUAAAAAAUAAAAUAAAACGUUAAAAAAUUUUCUUUAAAAAGCCAGCAGGAGGGGGCACCUGGGCAGCUCUGUCGGUUGAACGUCCAACUCUUGAGUUCGGCUCAGGUCGCAUGAUCCCAGGCUCGUGGGAUGGAGCCCCACCUCGGGCUCCACAGCACGGAGCCUGCCUGAGAUUCUCCCCCUCUGCCCCUCUCCCCUGCUUGCUCUCUCUCUCUCUCUCUCUCU